UAUUGCCGCUGGCUUCCGGCCCGCUGAGACUGGGAUCUCGCUUGCUCCCGAUCCGGUCGCCACCGUUGCAGUGGAAGAAAGUAGAGUGCGCAGCGGACGGGAAGCGCCGUCAUGCCCAAGUAUUACGAGGACAAGCCGGAGGGCGGCGCGUGCGCGGGCCUGAAGGAGGACCUGGGCGAGUGUCUGCUGCAGUCGGACUGUGUGGUCCAGGUAGCGCGGCCGGGCGCUCCCGGUGGUGACGACGCCUGCCCCGGGGAGGCCCGGCUCGGCGGAGGGCAGCGGGUCGCCCGCGGCGGCGGUUGGAGUUAACCAUCCCGGGCGGAGGUCACAGCUCGGGCUCACUGAACGUGCGCAGAUCCGCUGAGCUAGUUCCCUGUGGGGUUAAAUCGGAGAUACCGAUAAACCCACCCUGUCGGGUUUUUGCAAAGAUUAACCCAUUUCAGUUCACGAAGCGUGUAUUGCAUGCUAGCACUCUGCCGGGGUUCUGGAGACAUAAAGGAGAAUAAGCCAGGUUUCUUGCCUGCCUAGAAAUGAUGAUCUGCAGAAUUAAUGAUUCCAGAGAGUUGCGUAAACCUGGUACACUGCCCUGGCCAGUCGUGUCCCCUGCCCGUUCAGUUGUGACUGAAUGUGUGCUCAGUUUGCCUUGUGUUGAUAUGAAUUUGUUUCUAAGUUACAGUUCUCUGCAUUCUUGGAUGUUAAGUUGUAAAAAUAAAGCAACUCCAUAUUUUCACGAUUUGGUAUCUUGCUUCCCCUACGCUCUUACUUCACUCCCCUACUACAGACACAGGUCUCCUCAGCACCCUCUCGGAAUGCACUGAGGCAUGUAGUGAGGUUCAGAGUGGACCUGGGUUCUGGUUUCAGAGCUCAAAUAAACCACAAGUGCCUUUUCCAAUUACAGAGGCCCGACCAGAGGGCAUUCAAUUGUGUGCGGUUAUCUUUGCAUUGGGAGAUGUAGUUCCAGAAAGUUGCUGUUAUUUCAGAGAAAAGAUUACCCCCAAAUGGACAUCCACUAUAGGGCCGUAUUAGUGUUUCUGCCGAGUCACAAUUUUAUGUUUGGUUCACUGAUUUUAGCAGUCGGCCAUUCUCGCCUCCCAAGGUCUAGUAAAACUUGAGUUAUUAUAAAUGUAAGAGAUUAUGUCGCUCAACUUCCUUAUAUAAAUGAGGAAACUGAGGUACUGCUGUUUUCAGGCUCCCCUGUCCGGGGCUGUGUCCCCUCUGCCCCUUAUUCACUGGUGCUGCCAUUCAGCCAGCUCCUGGUAAAUGCCUCUUAAGUGGCAGGCAUGGUGCCUGACACUGGUGAUAACGAAGAUGAAUCAGUUGCAGUCACUACCCAUGUAAGCUUGGUGUCAUGGGAGAAAUAGACAUAGUCUAAAUUCCUGCCAUAAGGCUGUAAGCAUUUAUUAAACAUGUGUUUAAUGACUAGAUCUUGAGGAAAAAAAUGCCUUAGCCCAAUGGAGAGCAUCUGAUUUUGCUUCAGGGUUUGGAAUCUUCUGAGGUGACAUUUGAGCUGAGUCUUAAAAGUUGAAUAGCAGUUGAUCAAGUAAAGAAGUGGGAACUGUUGUGGUUGUGGGGAAGAUCUGAAAGAACAGCAAGUGCAGAGGCAGGGAGACGUGGGAGGGCCCAGAGGAGCUAGCGUCCUGCAAUACGGGAAUGCGAGAGAAGCCAGGUGUGAAGCCUGCGCGUGUGUCAGAGCGAGGAGACUGGAUUUUAUCUAGACGUUCAGCACGGAAGGCCACGUUGAUUAGUCAAGGGAAGAAAGUCCAAGCGGAGAAUAAUAGCAGCAGCACAGAGAAGUCCAAGCUGGCUUUCUGCGGCGGUUGAUACAGCAAACAUGUAUGGAGUGCCAGGCUCCGGCUCAGGGAGCAAACACUGAUGAAUGGGACAUGGCCUCUGCAGUGUAGAAAGCGGGGCCGUUUGGCUGGAAUGCUGUAGGUAGAGAUUGUGGUCGCGACAGCUGGUACAGACUUUGCUUUUCCUGCCAUUGAAUAUGUGGCCUUACCAGUGCUCAGUUUGGUCAGCCAGAAAACGUGAUGCUUAUAAACAGUUCUUUAGAUGGAAGUUCGUUUACAGGUUGCGUUAAAUUCAUUCUGAAUGGUGACUUCAGCUGGAGUGUAAAAGGGCGAAAGUGAGGAGGUUUGCAGGUCCAGAACCAUCUCCUACAGUCUGUUGGCGGCUGCUGCCCACCGCUCCUCACUGGGGACCCUGAAAGAGCAAGGAAAGCUCUGCUGAGGUCUUUGCUUGCUCUGUAUGGCAGCCUUAUUUAUGAUGGAAAUUUCUGAUUUCUUAAGUUCUUGAAUAAAAAGGUUAAUCUGAUCUUAGGGCAGGUUGGUGCUGUAGUCUCUUCUUGCCAGUCCACCUGAAACCUGCAGCACCUCACUCUAGGGAGAAAUUCAACAUAAACAUGUAUUUAGUUCUAGGAGAUUGUCAAUCUAGGGAGAUUGUCAAGGAGUUAGAGGGCCUCAGAGAAACUCAAUGGUAAGGAUGUAAAUUCCAGUGGGCCUGGAGGGAAGCAGGGAAAAAGCAGAUUCAAAAGGCAUCUCUUGAAGAGACUUCUUAGGAUUUAAUGACUCCUGGAUGAUCAGGACAAUGAAAUUCUGCCAGAGGAACUUCACUCAUCACAGGAUGUCUUCUUUGUCUCCACUAAGAGCUUCCAGACCUGCUGACUCUUCAUCAGAAUCACCUAGAAGUGGAAGGAAAAUCCCCUCGGCAGUGUUUGAAGGAAGGACACUGCAGCGCUCUAAAAUAUGCAUUUUUUGAGUGUAGAAGAUCAAUGUUGGAUAACAGAGCAAGAUUCAGAGGAAGAAAAGGAUAUUGAUACAUUAUGUUGAAACCAAGAUGGAAGACAACAGAUAUUUUCUCUGGUCAUUAACACAAAUAAGCCAAAACAGGAAACAACUUUUUACUAUAUCUGUUUGAUUGGACCAGAUUUCCCCUCCAUGGAACACUGACGAAAAUGGAUGAGUUCUGUUUUUGAAUAUGUAUAAAGUAAAUGAUUCUCUUGAUCCAAGUUAUUUUUAGAAGAAAAACCUAAUUGAACAGUUAUGGGUUGGCAGCAUAAUAAAUGUGUUUUGAGAAUUGUUCUAAAGCACAGAGAAUGGAAAGACUGUUAUUUGCAAACUUGACUGUUCAAUCGAAUUACACAAUUUGUACAGGCCACUGAUGUGACUGACAGAGUUGAUAACAUGGAGCCCAUCCAGAUGUCUGUUGGGAAAGUUUAGGAUGAACUUUUUCUUUAUUCAGUCUUUUCCUGUCUAGUUCGAAAAUAAAUUGUGUUUGAUUCCUUAGAGAAGAAAUACUUCUUGUGUGCUGUGAUUCACUGAAGUAAUAACCUCAGCACUUCAACAGAAUCCACAGGCGUAGCUGGCGCUCGGCCCCAGAUUGUGGUGCCCAGGCUCUUUACCAUCAUCUUCGGACUGCUUUUGUUUCCUGGUUUCAUUUUCAGGCUGGCCCUCUCUACAUAAUGGGCCAGUGUGAGCUCCAAGCCCACAUCCUUACGAUCCAUGAUUCAAAAGGGAGAGAGAGAACUUCCUUUUUCCGGGUUCACAAAUCAAAUCCUAUAAAAGGACUCUGGUCUUCCCAGGAUCACCUGCCCUUGCAUUGGACCAGUCCCUAUGGAAAAGGGGAUGGGGGCCUGUGAUCUUGGCCAGGCCUGGGCUAUCUGCGCUGUCAUUGCUGACUCCUGUCAGAAUCACAUGGAUGAGCAGUGAGCUGAAUCCCAAAAGGAAAGGGGUUUAGAGCAGGUGGAAACAACAGAUGUUCACUAUAGAAAGCAAGAAUGAAAACCAUGAAGUGGUUGAAGAUUAGCCUUACAGUAAUUUUAUUCUGAUCACUUAAUACAGUAGAGUCAAACAGGAAUCCAAGUUUCCAACUUUACUUUUGGCAUUGAAGAAUCACAAACAACCCUAGCGUCUUUAUACCUCCAUGGUUCACUGGAGUUGAAGCAAUCAGGGUGUUGUACAGCUCACUUGAGUUUGUAAAGGUUCUACUAAAAAGUGAGAAUUCCACCCCAGCAUGGGUCAUUGUUGCAGAAUACCACAAAGGUCUGUUGAGUGUACUCCUUUUCACUGCGAAAGGGACAGUCAUGGUUUUUUUCACUGUAUGCAUAUUUAAGUGAUAUAACUUUUUAUUAAUAAAAGUAAACUCUAAAAUGUA